UACGUAGGGGGCAAGCGUUGUCCGGAUUUAUUGGGCGUAAAGAGCUCGUAGGCGGUUCAGCAAGUCGGGUGUGAAAAAAUCUGGGCUCAACCCAGUGGAGCACCCGAUACUGCUGUGACUAGAGUCCGGUAGGGGAGUGUGGAAUUUCUGGUGUAGCGGUGAAAUGCGCAGAUAUCAGAAGGAACACCCGUGGCGAAGGCG
rnacentral:rRNA from 1 species